rnacentral:rRNA from 1 species
GACGGAGGGGGCUAGCGUUGUUCGGAAUGACUGGGCGUAAAGCGCGCGUAGGCGGUUCGGUAAGUUGGAUGUGAAAGCCCGGGGCUCAACCCCGGAUGUGCGUUCAAGACUGCCGGACUGGAGGUCGGAAGGGGAGAGCGGAAUUCCCAGUGUAGAGGUGAAAUUCGUAGAUAUUGGGAAGAACACCGGUGGCGAAGGCGGCUCUCUGGUCCGAUUCUGACGCUGAGGCGCGAAAGCGUGGGGAGCAAACAGG